rnacentral:rRNA from 1 species
GACGAGGCACUACGGUGCUGAAGCAACAAAUGCCCUGCUUCCAGGAAAAGCCUCUAAGCAUCAGGUAACAUCAAAUCGUACCCCAAACCGACACAGGUGGUCAGGUAGAGAAUACCAAGGCGCUUGAGAGAACUCGGGUGAAGGAACUAGGCAAAAUGGUGCCGUAACUUCGGGAGAAGGCACGCUGACACGUAGGUGAAGUGAUUUACUCACGGAGCUGAAGUCAGUCGAAGAUACCAGCUGGCUGCAACUGUUUAUUAAAAACACAGCACUGUGCAAACACGAAAGUGGACGUAUACGGUGUGACGCCUGCCCGGUGCCGGAAGGUUAAUUGAUGGGGUCAGCGCAAGCGAAGCUCCUGAUCGAAGCCCCGGUAAACGGCGGCCGUAACUAUAACGGUCCUAAGGUAGCGAAAUUCCUUGUCGGGUAAGUUCCGACCUGCACGAAUGGCGUAAUGAUGGCCAGGCUGUCUCCACCCGAGACUCAGUGAAAUUGAACUCGCUGUGAAGAUGCAGUGUACCCGCGGCAAGACGGAAAGACCCCGUGAACCUUUACUAUAGCUUGACACUGAACAUUGAGCCUUGAUGUGUAGGAUAGGUGGGAGGCUUUGAAGCGUGGACGCCAGUCUGCGUGGAGCCGACCUUGAAAUACCACCCUUUAAUGUUUGAUGUUCUAACGUGGACCCGUGAUCCGGGUUGCGGACAGUGUCUGGUGGGUAGUUUGACUGGGGCGGUCUCCUCCUAAAGAGUAACGGAGGAGCACGAAGGUUGGCUAAUCCUGGUCGGACAUCAGGAGGUUAGUGCAAUGGCAUAAGCCAGCUUGACUGCGAGCGUGACGGCGCGAGCAGGUGCGAAAGCAGGUCAUAGUGAUCCGGUGGUUCUGAAUGGAAGGGCCAUCGCUCAACGGAUAAAAGGUACUCCGGGGAUAACAGGCUGAUACCGCCCAAGAGUUCAUAUCGACGGCGGUGUUUGGCACCUCGAUGUCGGCUCAUCACAUCCUGGGGCUGAAGUAGGUCCCAAGGGUAUGGCUGUUCGCCAUUUAAAGUGGUACGCGAGCUGGGUUUAGAACGUCGUGAGACAGUUCGGUCCCUAUCUGCCGUGGGCGCUGGAGAACUGAGGGGGGCUGCUCCUAGUACGAGAGGACCGGAGUGGACGCAUCACUGGUGUUCGGGUUGUCAUGCCAAUGGCACUGCCCGGUAGCUAAAUGCGGAAGAGAUAAGUGCUGAAAGCAUCUAAGCACGAAACUUGCCCCGAGAUGAGUUCUCCCUGAGACUUUAGGUCUCCUGAAGGAACGUUGAAGACGACGACGUUGAUAGGCCGGGUGUGUAAGCGCAGCGAUGCGUUGAGCUAACCGGUACUAAUGAACCGUGAGGCUUAACCUUACA